UUUGUACUCCCUCCGUCCGAAAAUACUUGUCAUAGAAAUGGAUAAAAAUGGAUGUAUCUNNNNNUAAAAUACAUCUAGAUACAUUUAUUUCUCCGACAAGUAUUUUCGGGCGGCGGGAGUAUCAA
rfam:Hordeum vulgare subsp. vulgare, WGS project CAJW01000000 data, contig: morex_contig_39324